UACGUAGGGCGCAAGCGUUAUCCGGAAUUAUUGGGCGUAAAGAGCUCGUAGGCGGUUUGUCGCGUCUGCCGUGAAAGUCCGGGGCUCAACCCCGGAUCUGCGGUGGGUACGGGCAGACUUGAGUGCAGUAGGGGAGACUGGAAUUCCUGGUGUAGCGGUGAAAUGCGCAGAUAUCAGGAGGAACACCGAUGGCGAAGGCAGGUCUCUGGGCUGUAACUGACGCUGAGGCACGAAAGCGUGGGGAGCAAACAGG
rnacentral:rRNA from 1 species